rnacentral:rRNA from 1 species
CCUACGGGCGACUGCAGUCGAGAAUCAUUCACAAUGGGGGAAACCCUGAUGGUGCGACGCCGCGUGGGGGAAUGAAGGUCUUCGGAUUGUAAACCCCUGUCAUGUGGGAGCAAAUUAAAAAGAUAGUACCACAAGAGGAAGAGACGGCUAACUCUGUGCCAGCAGCCGCGGUAAUACAGAGGUCUCAAGCGUUGUUCGGAAUCACUGGGCGUAAAGCGUGCGUAGGCUGUUUAGUAAGUCGUGUGUGAAAGGCGCGGGCUCAACCCGCGGACGGAACAUGAUACUGCGAGACUAGAGUAAGGGAGGGGGAACCGGAAUUCUCGGUGUAGCAGUGAAAUGCGUAGAUAUCGAGAGGAACACUCGUGGCGAAGGCGGGUUCCUGGACAUUAACUGACGCUGAGGCACGAAGGCCAGGGGAGCGAAAGGGAUUAGAUACCCUUGUAGUC